GUGUAUCCCUGCCCUGAAGCACAUUUACUAAAACUGGAAUAAUAUACAGAAGGUUAGCAUGGUCCCUGGGCAAGGAUCCUAUUUCUCAAUAACAUUGCAUUCAGAGAUAC
ensembl:snRNA U6 U6 spliceosomal RNA